rnacentral:rRNA from 1 species
UGGGGAAUCUUCCGCAAUGGACGAAAGUCUGACGGAGCAACGCCGCGUGAGUGAUGACGGUCUUCGGAUUGUAAAGCUCUGUUAAUCGGGACGAAUGGUUUGUGUGCAAAUAGUGCAUAGACAUGACGGUACCGGAAUAGAAAGCCACGGCUAACUACGUGCCAGCAGCCGCGGUAAUACGUAGGUGGCAAGCGUUGUCCGGAAUUAUUGGGCGUAAAGCGCGCGCAGGCGGACUAGCCAGUCAGUCUUAAAAGUUCGGGGCUUAACCCCGUGAUGGGAUUGAAACUACUAGUCUAGAGUAUCGGAGAGGAAAGUGGAAUUCCUAGUGUAGCGGUGAAAUGCGUAGAUAUUAGGAAGAACACCAGUGGCUAAGGCGACUUUCUGGACGAACACUGACGCUGAGGCGCGAAAGCCAGGGGAGCGAACGGG